rnacentral:rRNA from 1 species
GAGCGCACGCCGCCUUCGGGGUGUUCCGGCGUCGUAGUCGUGCACUUCUCCCCUAGUAGAACGUCGCGACCCGUUGCGUGUCGGUCUACGGCCCGAGCGGUAGCCUGUCCCGUUACGCCUCGCGCGUGCGGUAGUCAGACCCUCGGUCGCCCGGCCGGCUGCGCGACGGUACUCGCACGGUAUCGGGCCGCACGAUAGCCAAAGUUCCUUUGGCGAGGCGUGCGUCAGGCCCGUCRCAAGCUGGGUCAGUUCUUACCCGGAGGUUACGGACCCGGUGCCGUCCCCGGGCCUGGCCAGCUGUUUGCCGACGGUGUCCUCUGACUGCGUCCACCACUAAAUAUACAAUMCCGGUCGGCGACGCUAUUGCUUUGGGUACUCUCAGGACCCGUCUUGAAACACGGACCAAGGAGUCUAACAUGUGCGCGAGUCAUUGGGAACGAUUGUGAAACCUAAAGGCGCAAUGAAAGUGAAGGU